UCAAACUGUUGCCUCAAAUAGCCUGGGAAAUAGACCAAAAAUAAAUAGACAAAUUUUAAAACAGCCAUAUUUGUCAUAAAUAUAUGGAAUUGCAGACCUCUAAAAACACGUUUUUGCAGUUGCUUCCUGAAGAUAUUGCACAUUAUGUUUUUGUAAUCCUGGUAACUUUAGCACUUCAGAAUUUUAAGUUCAGCUGAGAAUUCAUUAUCAUUCCUUCAUUAAAAUGUCUCCAUGUGUAAAACCAAACUGAAACUUUGUGUGCAAGCAGUGAGAUCUGAAUUUGAAUUCUAGCUCCUUUGCUUACUAAUUCUGUGAUGUCACCAUAGCCCUUUCCAUCUUUCACUUGCUUCUAAUAUCCCAGGACAAUUGCAAGCAACAAAUAAGACACAUAUGAGGACUUGCCUAAGGUAGAGCUUCAGUGUAGAGAGAAUCUCAGUAAGAAUUAAGAGUUGAGGUCAACAGGGAUUUAGCACAACAGCAAAAGAGCCAAAGUGGAAUUGCUGAGGACCUGUCUGACCAUGCAGGAAGGAGCUGAAGAUAUAACACACCCAGUCUUGGUGGAAGGAGCAGCAAGUAACCACUUUGAACAACAGAGAGAGAAUGACUCAAGUUAUCUUCAGAUCCAGCCCAGACUUGAAGAGAACGGAAGCCAAGCUCUUAAGCAUCAGGGAAGGUUUGAGGCUGUGAUAACCUGCGAAAGUAAGUCCAAUGAGAGAGAGAGU